GCUUCAGACACUGUGUCCACCAUGGCCUGGACCUGUCUCCUCCUUGUGCUCCUCUCUCACUGCACAGGGUCCCUCUCCCAGCCUGUGCUGACCCAGCCACCCUCCCUCUCUGCAUCCCUGGGGACAUCUGUGAGACUCACCUGCAUCCUCAGCAGUGGCUUCAGUGUUGGUGGCUACUACAUAUCCUGGUACCAGCAGAAGCCAGGGAGCCCUCCCCGGUACCUCCUGUACUACCACUCAGACUCAGACAAGCACCAGGGCUCCGGGGUCCCCAGCCGCUUCUCUGGAUCCAAAGACACCUCGGCCAAUGCAGGCCUUUUGCUCAUCUCUGGGCUGCAGCCUGAGGAUGAGGAUGAAUAUUACUGUGCUACUGCUCAUGGCAGUGGGAGCAGCUACAGUCCCUCACAGUGA